rnacentral:rRNA from 1 species
GGGCUUGACAUCCCACGAACCUGCCCGAAAGGGUCGGGUGCCCGCAAGGGAGCGUGGAGACAGGUGGUGCAUGGCUGUCGUCAGCUCGUGUCGUGAGAUGUUGGGUUAAGUCCCGCAACGAGCGCAACCCUCACCCCUUGUUGCCACCGGGUCAUGCCGAGCACUCUAGGGGAACUGCCAGCGUCAAGCUGGAGGAAGGCGGGGAUGACGUCAAGUCAUCAUGCCCCUUACGCCCUGGGCAACACACGUGCUACAAUGGCUGGUACAAAGGGAUGCAAGACCGCGAGGUGGAGCUAAUCCCAAAAAACCAGUCUAAGUUCAGAUUGCAGUCUGCAACUCGACCGCAUGAAGGAGGAAUCGCUAGUAAUCGCGCAUCAGCACGGCGCGGUGAAUACGUUCCCGGGCCUUGUACACACCGCCCGUCACACCACGAAAGCCGGCUGUACUCGAAGUCGCUGAG